CUUAAUCGACCCCAACAACAGCGGGCCGGCGUCGCCCCGGUCCUGCCCGUACGUCGCCAACAACGCCUGCGCCUC
rnacentral:antisense_RNA from 1 species